ensembl:lncRNA
AGUGCUGCAGGGACUCGUCCCUGGCGUCCCUUACCGUGCUGAAGUUGCCGCUGCCACCAGUGCUGGUGUGGGCGCCCGCAGUGCUCCUGUCCCCAUCCACAUCGCCCCCCUGGUGGAGCGAGAUGCGAGGCCUGCGGGCGGGAGCAGCUUGGCUGAGCAUUUAGCAGAGGUAGCCAGGCAGCCAGCCUUCAUUGCCGGCGUUGGUGGUGCUUGCUGGCUCAUUCUCGCUGCCUUUGCCGCUUGGCUCUACAGCCGCCGCCGGAGGAAGAAGGAGCUCAGCCACUUCACCGGUACAGGGGGUUGCUACCCCUGGGACCCCUCACCCCUCACCCCUCGCCCAUAAGCCACCCACUGUCCUUCUCUUUACAGCAUCCUUUGCCUACACACCCACCGGUAAGCCCCUAAGUGCUGCGGGGUCCCAGUACGGCCUCUCGCUGCCCUCACCCCCAUCUCUUUCCACAGUUGCCUUCCCAGCUCCAGUGCGCAGCAACCCCAGGGCAGCUGCCAGUGGUGGUUACCCGUGGCUGGUGGAUGCGUGGCGUGGUGGCAGCACAGCCGGUGCUGCCGGUUGCUUGGGGAGCACUGAGAGAUACUACAAUGGUGAGGGGUCAGCAUGGAGCUGGGUGGCUCUGAUUGAGGGGAUCAUGAUCAGCCCUGAUGAUGCUGCUCACCCUCUGCAGAUGCCGGCAUCACUCGGUACAUCGCCCAGACGGAGCAGUUUGGAGCGGGGGCUGGCGAGGGGCCGGUUUACAGCACCAUCGACGUUGACAGUGAGGAGCUCUGCACAUUCCCCCGUCCCUUCUCACAGUAUGGGACCUCCUACCCCGGGGGGAGUUCCCAGCCAAUGGAUGCUGCAGCCUCCCAGGUGCCCCGUGGCCGGGCUGAGCACGGUAGGGUGGUCGGAUGGGUGGGGGCACACAUGGGUGCUCGUGGUGCGGUGCCCUCCCCACAGCCCCCCCAGCAUCCCUCCUUGGCACAGGGGCCAAAGCAAAGCUGGGGCAAGCAGUGAAACCACCGGUGGUGAGCUGGACAGAGCUGCUGCCCCCACCACCCUCAGCCAGUGAGCUCAGCCAGUGUGCCCAGGAGGAGGAGAAGGAGGAGGAAGAGGAGGAUGAAGAGGAAGAUGCAGCUGGAGGGUGAGUAUGGGGGCUUGGGGGCUGGGCAUGCUGCCCCCAGCACCUACCCUGUGGUCUCCACCCUGCAGGUUGGGGAUGGAGGUGUGGUACCGUGGUGAGGACAUGCCCUGUGCCACUGCUGCAUCCUCACCCACCACCUCGUCCGGCUGCCGUUCCACCGCCACGCUGACACCAUCGCCUCGCACCACGGAGGACAUCCCUCGCCUCCGCGACUUCGAUAGCUCCCUCCUGUCCUGGUAGGAGAUGGGCCUUGCUUGGUAUGGCCGUGCCACUGGGGUCUGGAUGUCCCAUUGGGGUCCAGAUGUCCCAUCAAGGUCCAGAUGUCCCACCAUGGCCUGGGCGUUCCAUUGUGAUUCAGACAUGUUGUCACUACCCAGCCCUGCCAUGCCAUCAUGAUCCAACUCUGUCAUUAGGGUCCAGGCGUCUCAUUGGGGUCCAGGUGUUCUUUUGGGGUCAAGAUGCCUCACCACGGUCCAGAUGUUCCAUCACAACUCAGCCAUUUUGUCACUAUUUGGCUGUGCCAUGCUGUCGUGGUCCAGAUGUGUCACCUGUGCUGUCAUAGUCCAGCCAUGCCACUGAGGUCCAGAUAUGUCAUCUGAGGUCCAGGUGUCCCACUGAGGUCUGGAUGUCAUGCCCAGUCAUGCUUUCAUGAUCCAGUACCACUGUUCCACCAUAGCCUGGCCUUGCCACUGGACUCUGGAUCAGGCUCUGGAUGUCCCACCAUGGCCUGGCUGUCCCAUCACAACCCAGCCGUGCUAUCGUGAUCUGGUCCUGCUGUGCCACCACGGUCUGACCAUACCAUUGGGGUCUGGAUGUCCUACCAUGGUCCAGGCAUCUCCUUAUGAUCCAUCCAUGGUGUCACCAUGCACCCCUGCUCUCCAGUGUGCUCUGGCCAUGCUGUCAUGACACAUCCAUGACGUUGUGGGCU